AUCCACUUUACUGCAGCGUUUCAGAGCCAUUUGGAAAAACUGCUCCCCCAGUUUUGGUUUAAAAACUCCGGGGUUGCUUUGUAGUCUGGACGGAGACAAACGAGGACCUUUGGAAAUGACAAC